UGGGGAAUUUUGGACAAUGGGCGAAAGCCUGAUCCAGCAAUGCCGCGUGUGUGAAGAAGGCCUUCGGGUUGUAAAGCACUUUUGUCCGGAAAGAAAUCCUUGGCUCUAAUACAGUCGGGGGAUGACGGUACCGGAAGAAUAAGCACCGGCUAACUACGUGCCAGCAGCCGCGGUAAUACGUAGGGUGCAAGCGUUAAUCGGAAUUACUGGGCGUAAAGCGUGCGCAGGCGGUUUGCUAAGACCGAUGUGAAAUCCCCGGGCUCAACCUGGGAACUGCAUUGGUGACUGGCAGGCUAGAGUAUGGCAGAGGGGGGUAGAAUUCCACGUGUANCAGUGAAAUGCGUAGAGAUGUGGAGGAAUACCGAUGGCGAAGGCAGCCCCCUGGGCCAAUACUGACGCUCAUGCACGAAAGCGUGGGGAGCAAAACAGGAUUAGAUACCCUGGUAGUCCACGCCCUAAACGAUGUCAACUAGUUGUUGGGGAUUCAUUCUUAGUAACGUAGCUAACGCGUGAAGUUGACCGCCUGGGGAGUACGGUCGCAAGAUUAAAACUCAAAGGAAUUGACGGGGUCAUAGCUGUUUCC
rnacentral:rRNA from 1 species